rnacentral:lncRNA from 12 species
AUGGGACUGGAAGGGACUGGGAGAGACUGGGGGGGACUCAGGGGGAACUGGGAGGGACUGGGAUGGAACUAGGAAGGAUUGGGAUAAACUGGGAUAAACUGGGAGGGACUGGGAUGGGACUAGAAGGACUGGGAGGAAUCUGGGAUGGACUGGGAUGUACUGGGAUGUACUGGGAUAUACUGGGAUGUACUGGUUAUACUGGUCUGAACUGGGAUACAGUGGUCUGAACUGGGUUAUACUGGGAUAUACUGGUUAUACUGGGUUAUACUGGGAUGAACUGGGUCACACUAGCCCACACUGCAUUAUACUGGUCUGUACUGCCAUACACUGGGAUAUACUGGUUUAUACUGGACAGUACUGGGUUAUACUGCGGUAUACUGGGAUACAACAGGUUGUGCUGGUCUGUGCUGGGUUAUACUGGGUUAUACUGGGAUAUACUGGUUAUACUAGGCAACACCAGGUUAUAGUGGAAUAUACUGGGAUACACUGGGAUAUACUGGUUAUACUGGGAUACACUGGGUUAUACUGGGAUAUACUGGUCUGAACAGGGUUCUACUGGGUUAUACUAAUCUGAACUGGGAUAUACUGGGAUACACUGGGUUAUACUGGGAUAUACUGGUCUGAACAGGGUUCUACUGGGUUAUACUAAUCUGAACUGGGAUAUAGUGGGAUACACUGGGUUAUACUGGGAUAUACUGGUCUGAACGGGGUUAUACUGGGUUAUAGUAAUCUGAACUGGGAUAUACUGGGUUGUACUGGGACACACCGGGUUAUACUGGAAUAUACUGGGAUACACUGAUUAUACAGGGAUACACUGAGUUAUACUGGGAUAUACUGGUCUGAACUGGGAUACACUUGGUUAUACUGGGAUGCACUGCUCUUAACUGGGUUAUACUGGGUUAUACCAAUCUACACUGGGAUACACUGGUUAUACACUGGUUAUACUGGGAAACACUGGGUUACACUGGUCCCUACUGGAAUAUACUGGAAUAUACUGGUUAUACUGGGAUACAUCGGGUUAUACUGGGCUAUUACUGGAAUAUACUGGAAUAUACUGGGAUACACUGGUUAUACUGGGAUACAUCGGGUUAUACUGGGCUAUACUGGUCUGAACUGGGUUCAAUCUAAACUGGGAUACACUGGUUAUACACUGGUUAUACUGGGAAACACUGGGUUACACUGGUCCCUACUGGAAUAUACUGGAAUAUACUGGUUAUACUGGGAUACAUCGGGUUAUACUGGGCUAUACUGGUCUGAACUGGGUUAUACUAAUCUGAACUGGGAUAUACUGGGUUAUACUGGGAUACACCGGGUUAUACCAGUCUGUACUGGGUUACACUGGGAUACACUGGUUUAUACCGGUCUGUACUGUUUCAUACUGGUCUGUACUGGUUCAUACUGGCCUGUACUGGUUCAUACUGGUCUGUACUAGGUUAUACUGGGAUACACUGGCUUAUACCGGUUCAUACUGGUCUGUACUGGUUCAUACUGGUACUGGGAUGCACUGGCUUAUACUGGUUCAUACUGGUCCGUACUAGGUUAUACUGGGAUGCACUGGCUUAUACUGGUUCAUACUGGUCCGUACUAGGUUAUACUGGGAUGCACUGGCUUAUACUGGUUCAUACUGGUCCGUACUAGGUUAUACUGGGAUGCACUGGCUUAUACUGGUUCAUACUGGUCCGUACUAGGUUAUACUGGGAUGCACUGGCUUAUACUGGUUCAUACUGGUCCGUACUAGGUUAUACUGGGAUGCACUGGCUUAUACUGGUUCAUACUGGUCCGUACUAGGUUAUACUGGGAUGCACUGGCUUAUACUGGUUCAUACUGGUCCGUACUAGGUUAUACUGGGAUGCACUGGCUUAUACUGGUUCAUACUGGUCUGUACUGGUUCAUACUGGUCUGUACUGGUUCAUACUGGUCACUCACCGGGCCGCUCUCAGGCCGGGGUCCCCAACACCAGCGCUGCUGCCGGGGGGGCUCACGGGGGGGACCUGGGGGGACACACAGGGGACAUUUGGGGACAGGUGACACCCCCAGGGGACACCGAGACCCCCCAGGGGACAUUUGGGGACACACAGGUGACAUUUGGGGACUGCCAGGUGACACUGAGACCCCCCCCCCAGGUGACAUUUGGGGGGACACCGAGACCCCCCAGGGGACAUUUGGGGACACACAGGUGACACCAGGUGACAUUUGGAGACCCCCCAGAUGACAUUUGGGGACUUCUGGGGACCCCCAGGUGACACUGGGAACCUCCCCAGGUGACACCAGGUGACAUUUGGGGACCCCCAGGUGGCAUUGGGGACCCCCCAGGUGACAUUUGGGGACAUUUGGGGACCCCCAGGUGACAUUGGGGACCCCCCAGGUGACAUUUGGGGACCCCCCGGUGACCUCACCUGGGGGGGGGGGGGGGGGGGGGGGGGGGGGGGGGGGGGGGGGGGGGGGGGGGGG